UCAAUGGCACCUACCACCCCCACUGACUAGUAUAGUCAAGGUGUCAUUAUUCACAUAUGCGUGUUCCAGUCCACUCUUCUUGGCUGCCAGGUUACACUGACAUCCCGCAAACCAUUCUCAUUAUAUUAACAAUGGCUGGACUUUUUUCUGGACAGACCUGUAAUGGGUGAUUUAAGUAUAGAUACAAAAUAGAGAAGCUACUCAGGUUUAUUUGGGAAAUGAUUUUUCUUCCAUUCUUUCCCAGAAACUAGUUUCCUCAGUGUGGUCCUGGACUGGCUGAACCUCUUCUGAGACAUGAGGGGUUUGUCUUUAGCUCUUGAGUGCUUUAAAGAUAUGGUACCUGGAAAGGCUUUGCCGCAGGUGUGGUUUCUCCUUCAAGGUCCUUCAUGUAGUUUUGCAACCUCUCUUGGGUUAUCUGCAAGAGUGGCAAUCAAGGAUUUUGAUUUUCUUUUGUAAAGCCACAUCUUCCCACCUAUGAUGUUUGGCCAGGAUAGGACUGCUCAGGUUUUCUCUCCCAAUGGUUCCUGGGAAGACUACUUUUGGGUCAUUCCAGGUAAACCUAUUUCACCUUCUAACAGAACUCUGAGCUGAAGUUAUCAUAAGGUAUGAUGUAAAUUGAUUCAGGUGUGCAUCUCUUUUCCUGACUCUUGGGCUGAGAUACACCCAUAAAAAAUUGAACCCUGUCUGGAGACAAGGUACAAAUAAAUAGACUAUGGCCAUGACCUGAAGACAAGGUACAAAUAGACCACAGCCAUGACCUGAAGACAAAAGCUUUCAGAACUGCAGGGCCAGGACCGAGCUCGGCCAGGAGUCCCUCGGCAGCAGAGACAGAAGGACCGGACAGAAAGUGUCAACGUAUCUUAACAGCAUGUGUUCUCUGUGCCCGUUUUGUACCCACCUGCCUGACCUCAGGCCCUGAAGUGCUCCAGGUUCUAACUGUUGGGGAAAUAAGAUCAAAGAUCACAGACUCAGAAUUUCUGAAAUAUGACUUGCUGCUUACUAUAAAAUCUGCCUGCAGAAAUAAAGGGGAUUAUUUACCAGUCUGAAGUCAAGCAAUGGAUUCACUUCAGUUCAUAACUAGUUGUCUUUAUACAUGAGUGUAUCUCAAGAUCCCAGACACUCCCAGCCCCAUCAGAAAUUAUUUUGAGAUCUGGAAGGGCCUUUUAUUCUCAAAUUUAUUGUAUGCCUUUGAGGAGCAAUUCAAAGAGUUUGAAAGUGGCAGCACAAUAGGAAGUUAGGUAAAAUAUACAUUGGAAAAAACAUACAAAUGUACAAUUUGAAAUCGAAGAGAAUCACAGCAAACCAGGUCAAGCAUGCUCAUGAAAGGAGAUUCACCUAUUUGAAAAGGGGGAGUCAAGCAUUCCUUUAUUUUUUGCUUUUCAGAAAAUGAUAAACAUCUUUGAGGACAAAGGAAGUGGGCUAAAUUCCCUCACCCCAUCAUGAGAAAAAUAUCUGAAUCAGUACACAAUGAUAAUACACAGACUAAGGGCCAAUUUGUUCCAGAGAUAUCCAAAAUUUUUCUCAAAUUUCCUUCCCUCUUUUUGCUAUAAAGGAGCACACACAUUUCUGUCUCUGCUUCCUUGAUUGCAAAUCUUGUAAACAGUUACUUGAGGUAGCUAUGCUGUCGAGUCAGAACUAAGCCUGAAUCAGUGAAUAUUACACUGUUGUUCCCACAGGGCUUGGUUCCUGCAAGCCUCUGGUCACAAGCUUACCAACCAUCAAUACAAUGUAUCGUUAACUCACUGACAUUAAAAGCACGGCCAACAAAACUCACAACUGAAGUUUAUCUAACACAGGUAUUUUCUCCUUAAGAAACUUCACUAUCUAGCACUUCAGCAUGACACUUGGAGGGCAUUUUAAAUAGAGAAAUAUCUAACAAAAAGCACAAAAAUGAGGGGAAAAAGCACUAAAUACACAGGAAAAAGGACACUUAUUUACAGUUUGAAAACUGAAACGUGAAAGCACAGCAUUGCCUUGUUUGACUUUGCUGGGAAAAGUGUGCCUCGGGUGACUUGAAUGUUUUGCUACUCUGUGCAUGCCCAAGAAUGCCAUCAGAAGCAUUGUGAGUAUUGAUCUGAACGUUCGAAUAAGUUUUAGCAGGUUGGCAAACUGGCAAAUAUAAAAUCUGCUAAUGAGGACUGACUGUACAUUAAGUUUUAACUCCUUACUGGGAAGCACGGUAUUCUCAAUAGGAUAGUUAUAAGCCAGGGCUGGGAAGUCAGGAAGAGAACCUAGCCUCCACUGCUCUACGUUCUCAGUCGCAGUAAUAUGGCAACCAGAAUGGCUAAGACAUAACAGAUAUUACUCAAGAAAUGGCUGAUUAUCAAUAAUUUCACUUUAGUUUUUAUUAAAAAACGUAAGAUGGAAUGAUAGGGCAUUUCGGAAUCUAGUUCAUACUCCAAUACAGU